rnacentral:sRNA from 1 species
GCUGGGCGUGGUGGCUCAUGCCUGUAAUCCCAGCACUUUGGGAGGCCGAGGCAGGUGGAUCACCUGAGGUCAGGAGUUUGAGACCAGCCUGACCAACAUGGAGAAACCCUGUCUCUA